rnacentral:rRNA from 1 species
CCUACGGGGGGCUGCAGUGAGGAAUAUUGGUCAAUGGACGAGAGUCUGAACCAGCCAAGUAGCGUGAAGGAUGACUGCCCUAUGGGUUGUAAACUUCUUUUAUAUGGGAAUAAAAUGUUCCACGUGUGGGAUUUUGUAUGUACCAUAUGAAUAAGGAUCGGCUAACUCCGUGCCAGCAGCCGCGGUAAUACGGAGGAUCCGAGCGUUAUCCGGAUUUAUUGGGUUUAAAGGGAGCGUAGGUGGAUUGUUAAGUCAGUUGUGAAAGUUUGCGGCUCAACCGGAAAAUUGCAGUUGAAACUGGCAGUCUUGAGUACAGUAGAGGUGGGCGGAAUUCGUGGUGUAGCGGUGAAAUGCUUAGAUAUCACGAAGAACUCCGAUUGCGAAGGCAGUUCACUGGACUGCAACUGACACUGAGGCUCGAAAGUGUGGGUAUCAAACAGGAUUAGAUACCCUUGUAGUC